rnacentral:rRNA from 1 species
UACGAAGGGGGCUAGCGUUGUUCGGAAUCACUGGGCGUAAAGGGCGCGUAGGCGGCCGAUCAAGUCGGGGGUGAAAGCCUGUGGCUUAACCACAGAAUGGCCUUCGAUACUGUUUGGCUUGAGACCGGAAGAGGUUAGUGGAACUGCGAGUGUAGAGGUGAAAUUCGUAGAUAUUCGCAAGAGCACCAGUGGCGAAGGCGGCUGACUGGUCCGGUUCUGACGCUGAGGCGCGAAAGCGUGGGGAGCAAACAGG